rnacentral:piRNA from 1 species
UGAUGGCAUCAAGAAGGCUGGUGUCAGUGA